rnacentral:lncRNA from 1 species
AAGAUGACUUUUUACAAGAACUUCAAAGGGUAAGACUUCUUCUUCAUUUAUCUUCUAUCUCUACCAUGAUAGGUGUAGCAUCCCCGAAUCCGGGUCCCAAAUCGCCGCGGAUCCGGUACGCUAAUUCUAUAACUAUUGCGAAAGAUAUAAACAUACAUUGUUUAUACAUUAAACUUUACACAUCAGUUCCGAGGUCUACAACCUUAACUUAAUACAUACCUUCAAUAUUAAAAAGGUUUACAAUACUAUUUUCGUCAGAAAAUUUAAUAAAUCUAACUGCAACAUAAAAAAAACUUUGCACUUUGUCUUUGCCUCUGUCCUUAUUCAAGCCUUCAUCUUAAUCUGAAAAUUUUAUCAUGAUAUAGCAAGGGUGAGCAACAAAUUUGCCCAGCAAGUUUUAGAUACAAAGGAGAUAUAUCAUGAUUGAAAAGAAUGGAUAAGUUCAAGUUUUCAACAAUAUAAUAAUUGUGAAAUAACAUGAAUCAAUUUUUUUCAACGAUUGAAUAACUGAACCAAUAAUAAUGGAUGUCAACAAUUAACAUGAACAAGUUUAACUAAAACAUAUGAUAAUGAAGGUGAUCAGCCUUUCAUACCUGAUGAACAUAUACAACAUGCACAAUGUGCGAAUCAAUAAUUUAUUGACGUGGUAUAAUCAACAAUAAUUAACCACUAACAUGCUUUGAAUUAACAACUCAAGUUGAGUUAGGAAACUUGCACAAUGAUUAGAAGUUCAAGUUUAGGAACUUGCCUGUACCGUUGAUUACCGCUAAGCAAUCAAUUUAAUCUCUUAUAAAAGACCUAUCAUUAAUAAGAUCGAUCCUCCAAUUAGCAUAAUACAUUUUAUCCCACAACACUAUUACUCAAAUAAUAAAUUAGCUAACAUUUAGCCACAUAAUUAAAUAUUAACUAAUUCUUUAACUCAUUAGUAAUAUUAUUAUCCCUUAAUAAUAUUACUAUCACUUAUCCAUUAUCUUAAACUUUUGCCUAAUAUUCUUUUUAUAGAAUAUUUAUCAUUUACAAAUAUUAUUAAUCAUUUAAUAAUAUUUAAAUCCUUUACUAAUAUUAUUAAUCAUUUAAUAAUAUUGUAAUCACCUUCUAAUAUUAUUAAUCAUGUAAUAAUAUUUUACUUGUUUCAUAAAUAAUAAAGGUCUCACACAUUUUAAGAUGCAAAUAUUUUACACCUUGAAACUUAAACCAUUUAAAUUUCAUUUUAGAAAUAUCUUUUACCUCUACUCGCAAAUUCGGAGUUUAAACAGCUAAUGUAUAGCUUUUAUAGUAAAAAUCAAUUUACUAUAUUAUUUCUUCACUUUAAAUAACUUUUACUUCAGUUUGUCCGUUCAUGAGUCAACACUGACUAUUGCCUCAUAUAUAAACAUUUUAUCUCACUAGCACAUUCGCUUUAUUUUUCAUUUUACGAUUAUUCGCAUUUUUGCUUCGUUACGUAAAUCUCAGCUCAAAAACUUCAUUUUGAGCACCGAAAACCUCAAAAUAUCAUUUUUAUGAUUAAUACAAUAUUUCAAAGGUUUUACAUUCUUUGUUCCACCACAAAAUAAUUUUUAUAGGCAACUAUAUAUAUAUAUAUAUAUAUAUUUUUCGCUUAAAUAUGUAAUUUAUAUUUAUUACAUAUUUUUAUUGCUUUAUUUAUGCCUGAAAGAAAGUUUCUCGGCAUAAAAUAUUACUUAUAGUCAAAUUUCGCACCAUAAGACUUUAUUAGAUUAUUAUGACUUAUUAUUUCUCUAUCAUAUGCCCAAACACAUAAUAUACUUCAUUGAAUAUCAAUUUCAACAAUUACAUUGAAAAAUAUCAUAAAUCUCUUAUUAAAUCUCCCGUCGAAUAUUAUUAAUUAUGCAAUAAUAUUUUACGCUAAGGUUAUCAACCUUUUAAUAAUAUUCCAAUCAAAUACUACUAAUAAUAUCUCAAUACAAUAUUAUUAGUCAUAUAAAAAUAACUUAAGUCAUUAAUCACAUAAAUAAACAAUUAUUUCAAUUGUUUUCCUUACCGUAAUUAAUAAACUUGUUUAAACAUUUUAAAAUGUCAUAAACAUCACAACACCUUAAACCCGACCCAAAACUUCAUUACAAACUUGCAUAAGCCAUGCUCACGGGUCUCACUUCAUACAUCGCAUUUUUCCUAUUUUUGGACACUUUUGAUUUUCGAAAUAUUUUACCCAGCCUCACUAAAACAGCCAUAACUCUCGCGUUUUAAAACAUUUUUGAGCGAUUCUUGAGCCCACGCGAAGAUAACUUCCAGGGCUACAACUUUUGUCUCACGACAUUUUUCCAAAAUCAUAAUACAUCAGUCCAGAAAUUUACACAAAGGUGGCUGUUCGGGACUUGAGAAACAGUUUUAUUACUCACCUUCCGAACGCCAUAACUACCUCAUCCGGAGUCGGAAUUAGUCCGUUCCGGAGUCUAUGGAAAGCUAAAUCAGAGUACUACAACAUAUCAAAAGCUCAGAAUUUUUAAAGCACAAAAAACUGGACGAAAUUGCCCCUGCCAUAGUCUGCCCCGAAACUGUCCAUAACAUCGGGACUGAUUCGGCUUAAAUAAUUAUUACACCAUGAAAACUCAACAUUUUUCAGGGCUACCACUUGGGUUAACUACUACACACAUAUAUCUAACACCCCUCUUUGACGGUUCACAAAAAGAAGUCAUAGAUUUAAAACGGUAGAUUUUCAAAGUACACAGAAAUUUUGAGUUUCUAAACUAGAAAAAAAUUUAUUUUUCUCUUCUUUUGGUUUCAAACCAAAUCAACCCAAAAUAGCUAAAUCCAUACUAGAAUCAAAGAAAAACACAUAGAUUAUAGGGUUUUAUACACCCAAAUCAAAACUCACUUCCAUAAAAUUACAAAAGAAAUAAUUAGAGGAAAGCUUAGGGAAAGUAAUAAUAUACCUUCUUCUUCAUCUUCUUCUUCAUGGUGAUUUCUCCUCCUUCUUUCUCCCUCAAGGGGGCUGCCGAUCUUUCUACUCCCUCUCUCUUCCCCACGUUUUCUUCUCCCGAUCUCUCUUUCUCUUCUCUUUCUUUUCUUUUCUUAUCUCUUCUUAUCUUCUUAUUUCUAAGCCUUAUCUUUCUUUUUUUUUUUAUAAAAUUCGGCCAAGUGGC